GUACUAUAAGUACACUUUGGCUACAAAACCAUAGCUAUUGUGUAAGAACCGUUACCAUAGGUUAAAGUAUUGUGACGGAUUUUUGAACCGUUACAGUAGAGACGUUUACGGCAACAGUAUUUUUGGCAAAUUUUCUAUUGGGACGGUUGUAUAAUUCCUUCCUUAAUUAUUUUCCCCCCAAAAUUUUGAUACACCCGCCAAUAAUUUUAUCCCUGUAGCUUAGACCCUUUUAAUAUUAAAUUUAAUUGGUUUAAUUUUUAUCCAUUUCCCCCAUCAUCCACGCUUAGCAAACAAAACCCACUUUUUAAUAUCUCACUUCUUUACCUCUCUCAGUAGUGGAAGAGAGGCAAAUUUUCUCUCACUACAUACGUGAAGAACAACUGGACAGAACACAAGUUUUUGUUGAACCCAGCUGAUUUUCUCUCUACAAAAACACAAUUUGUUGAUCUUUGAGGUUGUUUUCUAUCUAUAUGCUUUUAAUUUUACAUAUUCUGGUCGAAUUUUGCCUCUGUUCUUUUGGUGGGUGUUUGAUAAAAAUGGUGAUUUGUAGUUAUUGUGGUGGGUUUUUUUUUAUUUACAUUUCUCUGAAUUUUUUCGUUUUUACAGGAAAUUAUUGCUCUUUGGUUUUGGUUAUUUUCUUUGUUAGAAUAGAGAUUUAUGGUUGAUUCUUAGUGGGGGUUUUCUCUUUGGAUUUCAUGGUCAUGAAUUGUUUGUCAAAAUCUAAUUUUAUGGUCAUGGGUUCUUUGCAUGUUUCCUUUUUUAUCUGAAUCUUCCUUCUUAUUUAAAUUUUUGAGUUUUUGUUUGACUAAAUGGAGCUUUAUGCCUUAUUUUAAGUGAGGUUUUUUGGUUGGAAUCCAAGUGUCAAUUUUUCAGGUUCAAUUUUAUAUCUAAAUCCAAGUGUUUCAUAUUUGCAACAAUUUUGCCUCUUAUUGUUUUUUUUUCUUUUUUCUUUUUUUGUUAGUUUCGGGAGAUUUCUUUUUAUUAGAAUGUGGUAUAUGUUUUUUUUUUUUUUUUUGGUUUUCCAGUUCUAAUUUUGUUUCAAGAUUAUGGCUGGUUUGCUAAAUUUUUCCUUUGAUGCUAGGUAACUCGAUCGUGGGGAGAAUCCAUAAUUUGGAGCUUCAAUCAGUUGGGAGAGUUUGUUUGAGUUCAUCGAUUGAGGUCGCCUGGGUCUUGUUCCAGUAAACUUGACAUUUAGCUUGGAUGAUUGCGUCUACUUCUCUCCAGGGAC